AUCCCUUCCGUCCUGCAGUCCUGAUGGCUCGUAGCCUCCAUACGGAUCAGCGCUUGGCCAGGCUGCUCGCCGUUCUCUUGGGCUUCCUCGGCAGCAGUUUUUCGAGUGGCCAGUGUGCAACUGGGGGGGUAACGAGGUGGAGGAAGGAAAUAGAGGAGCAGAAUUGUUUAAGGCCGAUGUCAGGAUUUGGUGAUAGGAUGCGAACAAGACUGCCAGGCUGCAAGAUGAACCCAGCACACCGCAGGCCGCCGUUCCCAUCGCCAGCCAGGCUGCCACGAGCUCGAGCCAACUGGGGCCUGCUUGCCUCCUGAAGUCAGCCGCAGCAUCGCUCACAUCUGCUGAGAAUCCCAGACAGAGCCCGCUUGCCGCGGCUCAUGAAAAAUUCAGAGCCCGUUGACUGUGGCCGAGGACGGCGCCUUCUCCCCAUCCGUCUCUUUCUCUCUCACUCGCUCUCCGCGUUUGCGAGCGUGUCUGAGACGUCUGCAGACAUGGCCGCACGCGCCCGCCUAGACAGAGCAAAUCACGCUCGCUCCUUCCAAGGCCUCCGCGGGGACCAGGAGCGCAGCUGCGGCGCAGCUCGGCGGUGACUGGCACGCCGGGAGUGCCCCGGGGGGGCCUGAUACAUUUUUCCGCACCUUCCUCAUGGCCAGGGACUGCCCAGGGGCCCUGCAGCUAGCUCCCAGAGCCAGGGAGGCUGGCCUGCCAUUGCUGUGGUCUCUGCUAGAUGGAACGGCAUCCGCCCUACAGAGACACAGGCAGGCAGGGCUGCACCUGGCUGCCUGCAAACAUUGGCUGGCUGCCCGGAGACCCCCAGGUCUAAGGUAGCAAGGGAAUACAUUGGUUUGAGGAUGGAGCUGUUCAUGCCCUUGCAAGGGACUCUGUGAUGAGGAGCAGCAAGGGACCUGGGGAGCAGCCCCAGGGCCUUGGAGCAGGUGCACCCCUACCCUGGGCAGAUGGCUGCAGCAGGGGCAUAGCUGGGAGGAGAGGUAGGUGGAAGGUGGAUCAGGGCUGGGUUUGGGGUUCCCGGGGAUUUAUUC
rnacentral:lncRNA from 1 species